UACGGAGGGUGCGAGCGUUGUCCGGAAUCAUUGGGCGUAAAGGGCGCGUAGGUGGCCCGGUCAGUUCGUGGUGAAAGCGCGGGGCUCGAACCCUGCGUCGGCCAUGAAUACUGCCGCGGCUGGAGCACUGUAGAGGCAGGCGGAAGUUCCGGGUCGGUAGCGGUGGAAUGCGUAGAGAUCCGGAAGAACACCGGUGGCGAAGGCGGCCUGCUGGGCAGUUGCUGACACUGAGGCGCGACAGCGU
rnacentral:rRNA from 1 species